ACGCUGGCGGCGUGCCUAAUACAUGCAAGUAGAACGCUGAAGGGAGAGCUUGCUUCUCCGGAUGAGUUGCGAACGGGUGAGUAACGCGUAGGUAACCUGCCUGGUAGCGGGGGAUAACUAUUGGAAACGAUAGCUAAUACCGCAUAAUAGUAGAUGUUGCAUGACAUUUGCUUGAAAGGUGCAAUUGCAUCACUACCAGAUGGACCUGCGUUGUAUUAGCUAGUUGGUGGGGUAACGGCUCACCAAGGCGACGAUACAUAGCCGACCUGAGAGGGUGAUCGGCCACACUGGGACUGAGACACGGCCCAGACUCCUACGGGAGGCAGCAGUAGGGAAUCUUCGGCAAUGGACGGAAGUCUGACCGAGCAACGCCGCGUGAGUGAAGAAGGUUUUUGGAUCGUAAAGCUCUGUUGUAAGAGAAGAACGAGUGUGAGAGUGGAAAGUUCACACUGUGACGGUAUCUUACCAGAAAGGGACGGCUUACUACGUGCCAGCAGCCGCGGUAAUACGUAGGUCCCGAGCGUUGUCCGGAUUUAUUGGGCGUAAAGCGAGCGCAGGCGGUUAGAUAAGUCUGAAGUUAAAGGCUGUGGCUUAACCAUAGUACGCUUUGGAAACUGUUUAACUUGAGUGCAAGAGGGGAGAGUGGAAUUCCAUGUGUAGCGGUGAAAUGCGUAGAUAUAUGGAGGAACACCGGUGGCGAAAGCGGCUCUCUGGCUUGUAACUGACGCUGAGGCUCGAAAGUGUGGGGAGCAAACAGGAUUAGAUACCCUGGUAGUCCACGCCGUAAACGAUGAGUGCUAGGUGUUAGACCCUUUCCGGGGUUUAGUGCCGCAGCUAACGCAUUAAGCACUCCGCCUGGGGAGUACGACCGCAAGGUUGAAACUCAAAGGAAUUGACGGGGGC
rnacentral:rRNA from 1 species